rnacentral:rRNA from 1 species
UCGAGAAUAAUUCGCAAUGGGCGAAAGCCUGACGAUGCGACGCCGUGUGAGUGAAGAAGGCCUUCGGGUCGUAAAGCUCUGUCGUCCGAGAACAAGAGGAGCUGUUAAAUAAGCAGCUUCUUUGAGGGUAUCGGAAAAGGAAGCACCGGCUCACUCCGUGCCAGCAGCUGCGGUAAUACGGAGGGUGCAAGCGUUAGUCGGAUUUACUGGGCGUAAAGGGCGCGUAGGCGGGGAGGUCAGUCAGCUGUGAAAUCCCGGAGCUCAACUCCGGAACUGCAUCUGAUACUGCUUCUCUCGAGGGUAAGCGGAGAAAACGGAAUUCCACAUGUAGCGGUGAAAUGCGUAGAUAUGUGGAAGAACACCUGUGGCGAAAGCGGUUUUCUAGCUUACACCUGACGCUGAGGCGCGAAAGCAAGGGGAGCAAACAGGAUUAGAUACCCGCGUAGUCC